UACGGGGGGGGCAAGCGUUGUUCGGAAUUACUGGGCGUAAAGGGUUCGUAGGUGGCUUGCUUAGUCAGACGUGAAAUCCCUCAGCUUAACUGGGGAACUGCGUCUGAUACUGGCGAGCUUGAGUGCAGGAGAGGAAUGCGGAAUUCCAGGUGUAGCGGUGAAAAUGCGUAGAUAUCUGGAGGAACACCGGUGGCGAAGGCAGCUCGCUGGGACGUUACUGACGCUGAGACGCGAAAAGCGUGGGGGAGCAAACAGG
rnacentral:rRNA from 1 species